rnacentral:rRNA from 1 species
GCUACGGGGUGCAGCAGUGGGGAAUAUUGGGCAAUGGAGGCAACUCUGACCCAGCAACGCCGCGUGAAUGAUGAAGGUGUUCGGAUUGUAAAGUUCUUUUCUAAGGGAAGAAGAAAGUGACGGUACCUUAGGAAUAAGCCUCGGCUAACUACGUGCCAGCAGCAGCGGUAAUACGUAGGCGGCAAGCGUUCACCGGAAUGUAUGGGGGGAAAGGGGGCGUAGGUGGUUUGACAAGUUAGUAGCGCACAUCCGGAGCACAACUUCGGAACUACUACUGAAACUGUUGGACUUGAGUGCAGGAGGGGCAAUCGGAAUUCCUGGUGUAGCGGUAGAAUGCGUAGAUAUUAGGAGGAACACCAGUGGCGAAGGCGGAUUGCUAGACUGUAACUGACACUGAGGCACGAAAGCGUGGGGAGCAAACAGGAUUAGAUACCCUGGUAGUC